UGCCAGAAGACCACGAUUCAGUGGAACAGAAUUUGGAAACCCCUGAAUUUCAUCUCAAAGGUCUCGAGAAGUCUGUGAAGUAUCCACCUGGGAACAAUAGAGAACAAACUGUGUUCCCUGCCGUGAUAAGGAUCUGGGUUACUAGCCAAGUAUAAUCACAUUUCUUAUUUUGGACAAUAAGCCACCGUGUCACUGCCUGGAGCUGUCUGCCAUGAUAAUGGUCACUGAUGAAGGACAGAAAAAGGUUUUCAGUGUGAAGACGCAGUGAUCCCAGGCUCUCCUGGCAACAGAGUGGGAACUCCGUCAGGACUCAUGUCACCGCACCAGCUUCCAGGACUCAACUGGUCAGUCCACCAUGGCUGCUCUUUAAAUAGCAUCUGCUAAAUGCCCGAGUUUGCGAUCUGCUUUGGUGAAGAGUCUUCAUGCUACUGAAAUUGCUCAUUUUCAAAGUAUUGAAGGAAGAGCCUCUUAAGAACCUGAUGAGAACUUGUGCUUCUGGGGGGUUAUUACCUAAGGGGUGACUCAUUAAUUAGUGCAUCUGAUUAUAAAGUUAAGGCUCCUCAAAGGACACACCCACUGGGUGCUAACAGGCUGCGGUAAGGAUUUCCCAAGAAGAGCAGUAAUUUAGAAAGCAGUUUGUGGAAAUAUAUGCUAGGAAAAGGGGGCCUGGGCGCUCGCCAAGCCUGAUAGCCUUACUGUUCUGUCAAUACCCUUCUAAUGUCAGGACAAAGCCAAAAAGCUCCUUCCACUCUGGUUAAGCCCGGGCGUGACUCAUGGGAAGACAGCAAUAAGCCCUGCGUAAGUGGGGUCUGGAUCUGCCUUAGUGGGGCCGCAUCCAAGCCAGGGAGCCACCUCGCAGAGGCCUGAGAUUACCAAGAACCGUCCCUCAGCUGAGGGCCAUCCCUGGCCAGAUGCCAGGGCUCAGCCACAGCGGCCCAUUCUCGGUGCCAGCGGGGCAGCAGGGGCAGCCUGGAUCUUGGGGAAGCAGCUCAGAGAUUAGAGGGAGGCAUAACAGGACUCCACCUGGGCAGGAGGGAGCCACUGUGUGCGAGACCCUGCUGCAACCCAGCCCUUCUACCUGUGUGGUCCUGGAGAGGCGGCUGGCUGCUUACCGGGCACAGACACCAGGCAGGCAAUGAGCAGAACCGGGGAGUCGGGCUGCUCUUGGGGAAGAUCCAACCGCGAGGAGGGCAACGCUGAUCCAAAGCCGGGAAGCCAGAGCCAGUUUGCUCCAAGGAGAUGGGCUUCGUAGAUGGCUUUCACACCAUCUCAUUGUGUGCUCCAUCCCAACCUGCUCUUCCAUAUCCCUCCACAUCCGGACAGACUCCCAGCCCUUGUGUGAGACAUUGGCGCCUUUGCACACGUUGUCCCCCGGCCCUGGAGAGCGCUCCCCCGUCACCCCCACCUUCUAAAGACCCAGCUGCCCUCCAAGUGCAGCUAAGGCACCUCCUCCAAGAGUCCUUUGUGAUCGCCUGUGUCACUAGGACUGCCUGUCUCUUAAUGUUGCAACGCUGUGCGUUCUUUGCUUGGCCAUGGAGAUGCACAUAAUCUCUUUGAGGGAAACAUGGUAUUGCGUUCAUAUCCUGCCUCUUCAGGAUGGCGUUUUAUUUAUAGGAAACAUUUAAAGAGUGUUUGCUGGAUGGAAUAGAACUUUUCAGGGAGCAAUGUCUCGAUGAAUCUUCUGUUUCUAUUUUGUAUCCCCUUGUACCUUAAUUUGAUUGGACCCACUUGUGGGAACCCAAGACUGGGCUGGA